rnacentral:rRNA from 1 species
UACGUAGGGAGCAAGCGUUGUCCGGAAUCAUUGGGCGUAAAGAGCGCGUAGGCGGUCCGGUAAGUCGGUUGUGAAAACUGGGGGCUCAACCCUCAGACGCCGACCGAUACUGUCGGGCUAGAGUCCGGAAGAGGCGAGUGGAAUUCCUGGUGUAGCGGUGAAAUGCGCAGAUAUCAGGAGGAACACCAAUGGCGAAGGCAGCUCGCUGGGACGGUACUGACGCUGAGACGCGAAAGCGUGGGGAGCGAACAGG